rnacentral:tRNA from 1 species
AAUAAGGUGCCUGAUAAAAAGGGCUAUCUUGAUAGGAUAGAUUAUGUAUAAUUUAUACCCUUAUUA